ensembl:rRNA 5S_rRNA 5S ribosomal RNA
GCUAUCACUCAUGCCACCCUGAAUACGCCUGAUCCCAUCUGAUCUUGGAAGCUAAGCAGGGUCAGGCCUGCUUAAUACUUGGAUGGUAGACCACCUAGGAAAAUCAGGUACCGUAGGCA